GACGAACCGUCCUAACGUUGUUCGGAAUUACUGGGCGUAAAGGGCUCGUAGGCGGCCAACUAAGUCGGAUGUGAAAUCCCCAGGCUCAACCUGGGAACUGCAUCCGAUACUGGAUGGCUUGAAUUCGGGAGAGGGAUGCAGAAUUCCAGGUGUAGCGGUGAAAUGCGUAGAUAUCUGGAGGAAUACCGGUGGCGAAGGCGGCAUCCUGGACCGACAUUGACGCUGAUGAGCGAAAGCUAGGGGAGCAAACGGG
rnacentral:rRNA from 1 species